rnacentral:tRNA from 1 species
GUAAAUAUAGUUUAAAAAAAACACUAGAUUGUGAAUCUAAUGACAGAAGUCCACUACAUUCUUAUUUACC